UGGGGAAUAUUGCACAAUGGGCGCAAGCCUGAUGCAGCCAUGCCGCGUGUAUGAAGAAGGCCUUCGGGUUGUAAAGUACUUUCAGCGGGGAGGAAGGGAGUAAAGUUAAUACCUUUACUCAUUGACGUUACCCGCAGAAGAAGCACCGGCUAACUCCGUGCCAGCAGCCGCGGUAAUACGGAGGGUGCAAGCGUUAAUCGGAAUUACUGGGCGUAAAGCGCACGCAGGCGGUUUGUUAAGUCAGAUGUGAAAUCCCCGGGCUCAACCUGGGAACUGCAUCUGAUACUGGCAAGCUUGAGUCUCGUAGAGGGGGGUAGAAUUCAGGUGUAGCGGUGAAAUGCGUAGAGAUCUGGAGGAAUACCGGUGGCGAAGGCGGCCCCCUGGACGAAGACUGACGCUCAGGUGCGAAAGCGUGGGGAGCAAACAGG
rnacentral:rRNA from 1 species